rnacentral:rRNA from 1 species
GGUAGUUGGUAGGGUAGAGGCCUACCAAGCCUGCGAUCGGUAGCCGGCCUGAGAGGGUGGACGACCACAUUGGGACUGAGACACGGCCCAAACUCCUACGGGAGGCAGCAGUGGGGGAUAUUGCACAAUGGGCGAAAGCCUGAUGCAGCGACGCCGCGUGGGUGAAGAAGUACCUCGGUACGUAAAGCCCUAUCAGCAGGGAAGAAAAUGACGGUACCUGGCUAAGAAGCUCCGGCUAAAUACGUGCCAGCAGCCGCGGUAAUACGUAUGGAGCAAGCGUUAUCCGGAUUUACUGGGUGUAAAGGGAGCGUAGGCGGCAUACCAAGCCUGAUGUGAAAACCCGGGGCCCAACCCCGGGAGUGCAUUGGGAACUGGCAAGCUAGAGUGUCGGAGAGGCAGGCGGAAUUCCUAGUGUAGCGGUGAAAUGCGUAGAUAUUAGGAGGAACACCAGUGGCGAAGGCGGCCUGCUGGACGAUGACUGACGCUGAGGCUCGAAAGCGUGGGGAGCAAACAGGAUUAGAUACCCUGGUAGUCCACGCCG